rnacentral:lncRNA from 1 species
UAUUAAAUCACGCUAAUUAAACUUGAUAUUAUGCUAAAAAUAUUCAUCGAUUCGUCGAAAUUGGACUAAACUCCAACAAUAUAUUCAGACCGGAUAAAUCACCUAAUCGAUCAAACUCGUCGCAAAUUUAGCCGAAAUUGCACUUAAAUUAUCGGGUAUAAUUCUAUCAUCCUUAUCCCUAUUUCAAACACUCGAGCUCCACUUUCUCGAUCUGGCAGUCUUGUUGUCCUCUUCAUACUUUAUGUUUUCUUGAUAGGCUAUUGAGUUGACUUCUUCCCAGAGGCUUGUCCAUCUUUGUCCUUGGCAGCUUGCACCUUCUUGAUUGCAUUUGUAGUGAUGACCAGAUCUUCAUAAGAUGAGGGUGGGGUGGUAGGGGGCCUGUGUGCAGAUAAUCCACUCUCAGCUGUUUUAGAUAGAACGAUCAUCAUCCUCUGAGAUCAGCAUUUGUAGUUGAUGCCAUCAAGAUACUGAAGCUUCGAAAUUGUUGGAAUAAACUGAACUACAGCCACUUUACAGAAUGAUUAGAACUGACAAACAAAAAAUUAAGAAAUGAAAUCAAACGGAAACUAAAGCAACAAAAACUGUGAUCAUGCAAAAAGCAUUACCUUCGCAUCAAAAUUCCCCAAAAUAAGCAAUACACCAAUGAAACUGAAGGCAAUCAUAAUAAGCUC